AUUGUGCCCCCUCCGUCCGGUAUUUAGUGUCGCAAAUUUGUCUACAUACACAUGUAUCUAGACGUGUUUUAAUGUGUAGGUACAUACGUAUCUAGACAUAUUUACAUCACUUAAUACCGGACGGAGAGAGUAAUUG
rfam:Brachypodium distachyon strain Bd21 chromosome 4, whole genome shotgun sequence.